UCCUCUCUUGGCUGGGCUGCCUCAUGAGU
rnacentral:piRNA from 1 species